rnacentral:lncRNA from 1 species
GAGCUUCUCAGAACUGAAGGUGAAAGAGGUGAGUUAGAGCACCCUAAAUUACAGUGGCAUAUCAGUGCCCUGGAAGGUCGGAAUUUCUGGACUGUUCCCAGUGAGCUGGCUGCUCUGGCCUCCCAAAGAUGUAUGGGCUCCCGCACUCUCUGGAGGGGACACACUGCUUAUUUCUUCAGCCUACAGCCUAGAUUCCAAUUGCUUUUGCAGGUGGAAAGCACCGAGCAGUGACGCCUUGAUGGUCAGAUUUUCCAUUCAAAGAUGGAAAGGCAUGAGCUAUGACAUUUUAAGAAAAUAUUAUUUCCUCACUCAGCAGCUUCACAUGCUUUUCAAGAUGGAAAACAAUGAAAGAAGCAGAGCUAGUCACAGGAGUCUGCUCCUUUCAAAUUCAUCUCACAGCACAGGUUUCCAGUAAGAGGAGAACUCUUUUUAAGAUUGAUGGACAGAAGAAAUCAACUUUCCAUGAACUCAUUAAAAAACAACAACAACCAUAAAUUGUUUAGCAUUCAAUUGUGCAGUGAAAUCCUGCUUUGAAGAUAGAUGGAAAGAGCACUGGGAGAUGUUCCAGUGGUGGUCCUGGCCACAACAGUGCUGCCCUCCAGCAAGCCUGGGUUGGGCACCUCUGUCUCCUCCCAUACAGGAACAGAAUUUACACUCAGCCCUGGUAACCAGUCUAUCGGUCGGUACCACCAGCCUCAGGAAAACUUUAGAGUUAUGCUUGCGAGAGCACUAACUGUUACAAGGAGGGUGAGAUCUGGAGUUCCAGAAAAAUAAGAGAGAAUCUUGCAUCUGGAGCAUAAAUGAUCUUCAAGAAAUACACACAGGAAGUUGAACAGGUGUAUAAACUUCAGAGAAGCUCUCUGGUCUCUCAAAAAUCCCUGUGAAUAUCUCAGAGCAGCUGGGAUGCCUCAUUAUCCCCGGAUGCCUAAUUCAUUCUCAUUAUUGUGACUUCAAUCUUUAGUAUCUCAACAAAUAUGGAUAUCCAGCCACUUCUCAACCUGAAAUUCUCAAGAAAAAGUGAGAUCAUGAGCUGCAUAUUUGAUCCAAUGAAGCUUUGUCAAGUCCUGGGAGUGUCAUCUUCCUAUUUUAGAUAUAACUGUGGCAAAAAUAUUUAUCUACCACAUAGCUCAUAUUUUCCUUCUCCAAGAAUACAACAGUUGCCCUGAUUAAUAUCUCUUUUGAAAAACUCUAAAAUGCCAACUACUCACUGUUUCCAAUUACUCGAAGGAAAGCUAACUUCCAGAGAGUCUAUCUGCAUGUAAUUAUUUCAAAUAUUUCUAAGUACUUGGGAGGAAGAGCUCUUGAAAUUUUAGUCUUUGAUCACCAGUAUAUGAAUUCAAGUGCCUUUGGGACCUAAAGAAAACAACAGUGUUCAUUUGAAGGAGGGAGGGUGGGAAAAAUAGAAGGAAGUGUAGUGUUUAGAUUCACUGGUUUGGAAAGACUUUAAAAAUAUUUAUAUCAGUAUUGAGGAUUUGUGUAUGUUUUAUUUCUUGUCAUGGCUUUGAAGAAGUUACAUAUAUAUCCUCAAAGAUUUUAAGUACUAUUUCAUAGAGAAUAUGGUACUAUUUAUAAAUACAAAUGUAUGAGACUUCUAAACCUUGUGAGCACUCUAAUAAUACAGGACAGUGGUUUAUGGGACUUUUCUGAAAUGACAUCUGGAAAACCAAUUAAUGACAUCUCAGGUUGAGCAAGUAUCCAUGCUGUGGUUCAGAUGUAUCCUAGUCUCCUGCUAUGCUAUAUGGAUCCUGAAAAAAUAAAAGAAAUAGAAAGUUCUCCUUCC